rnacentral:rRNA from 1 species
CCUACGGGCGGCUGCAGUGGGGAAUAUUGGACAAUGGGGGGAACCCUGAUCCAGCCAUGCCGCGUGUGUGAAGAAGGCCCUCGGGUUGUAAAGCACUUUCAGUGAGGAAGAACGCCUGGUGGUUAAUACCCAUCAGGAAAGACAUCACUCACAGAAGAAGCACCGGCUAACUCCGUGCCAGCAGCCGCGGUAAUACGGAGGGUGCGAGCGUUAAUCGGAAUUACUGGGCGUAAAGCGCGCGUAGGUGGCUCGAUAAGCCGGUUGUGAAAGCCCCGGGCUCAACCUGGGAACGGCAUCCGGAACUGUCAAGCUAGAGUGCAGGAGAGGAAGGUAGAAUUCCCGGUGUAGCGGUGAAAUGCGUAGAGAUCGGGAGGAAUACCAGUGGCGAAGGCGGCCUUCUGGACUGACACUGACACUGAGGUGCGAAAGCGUGGGUAGCAAACAGGAUUAGAUACCCGAGUAGUC